rnacentral:rRNA from 1 species
UACGAAGGGGGCUAGCGUUGCUCGGAAUCACUGGGCGUAAAGCGCACGUAGGCGGAUCUUUAAGUCAGGGGUGAAAUCCUGGAGCUCAACUCCAGAACUGCCUUUGAUACUGGGGAUCUCGAGUCCGGAAGAGGUGAGUGGAACUCCGAGUGUAGAGGUGAAAUUCGUAGAUAUCGUAAGGAAGACCAGUGGCGAAGGCGGGUCUCUGGACAGUUCCUGACGCUGAGGCACGAAGGCCAGGGGAGCAAACGGG